rnacentral:rRNA from 1 species
AAAUUGCCUUGAUGUGGGGGAUAACCAUUGGAAACGAUGGCUAAUACCGCAUAAUGCCUACGGGCCAAAGAGGGGGAUCUUCGGACCUCUCGCGUCAAGAUAUGCCUAGGUGGGAUUAGCUAGUUGGUGAGGUAAUGGCUCACCAAGGCGACGAUCCCUAGCUGGUCUGAGAGGAUGAUCAGCCACACUGGAACUGAGACACGGUCCAGACUCAUACGGGAGGCAGCAGUGGGGAAUAUUGCACAAUGGGCGAAAGCCUGAUGCAGCCAUGCCGCGUGUAUGAAGAAGGCCUUCGGGUUGUAAAGUACUUUCAGUUGUGAGGAAGGGGGUAACGUUAAUAGCGUUAUCUCUUGACGUUAGCAACAGAAGAAGCACCGGCUAACUCCGUGCCAGCAGCCGCGGUAAUACGGAGGGUGCGAGCGUUAAUCGGAAUUACUGGGCGUAAAGCGCAUGCAGGUGGUUCAUUAAGUCAGAUGUGAAAGCCCGGGGCUUAACCUCGGAACUGCAUUUGAAACUGGUGAACUAGAGUGCUGUAGAGGGGGGUAGAAUUUCAGGUGUAGCGGUGAAAUGCGUAGAGAUCUGAAGGAAUACCAGUGGCGAAGGCGGCCCCCUGGACAGACACUGACACUCAGAUGCGAAAGCGUGNGGGGCAAACAGGAUUAGAUACCCUGGUAGUCCACGCCGUAAACGAUGUCUACUUGGAGGUUGUGGCCUUGAGCCGUGGCUUUCGGAGCUAACGCGUUAAGUAGACCGCCUGGGGAG